CACAGGGCGAUGCCCUAUGCUAAGAUAUUUCGCACCUUCAGUGCU
rfam:Phycisphaerae bacterium SM-Chi-D1, complete genome.